rnacentral:lncRNA from 1 species
AAAAUGUUGAGGGUGCAAGCACAGUGGGAUUUGGGUUCCCUCCACUGCAAUCCAAUGGACUUUAGACAAAUCACUUUGGGUAUGUCUAUAUUAAGAGAGUGAAGGCUCAAAACGCCUCAACAAUUCCUCUGGGGCCUCUCUAGGCCAGGAAGAAGAAGCAAGAGAGAAGUGCAAAGCAAACUUUAGCUCACUGCUGGCGUUUGGGAGUGUAUUUCCUUUUGAUAUAACAUCUCAGGCAGAGUUCUGCAUCAGCAUUUCCAUAUUUUAUGAGCCUCAGACUGUUAUAUCCCCGCAACACCACCCAAGCUCACCUAAUUGGAAUGAAAUCAAAAAUAAAAACCAAAAAACCAUAACCUUUUGAUGUUCCCAAGCGGAAAGUGGUAUAAAAGCCCCCAAGAAAUACCUUGCAUGGCAUGAUAGUCACUGAAUGUUAACUGGGCCUGUGACAUACACUUUUCAUUAGCGUUCUUGGAAAGUCAAUGAUUCUUGGGUUCUUAAGCAAAUAUGUUAUUUUUUUUUUUUCAUACUGAAUGGAAAGAUGGAAUUCCCAAAGGGUAUCAACUGCAACCCAGCACAGCAGAAGUGUAAUUUGUCAAACAACAACACAGUGAAAUAUUUCACAGCUGAAACUAUAUUAACAUGACAGAAUCUGAAGCCAGUUAACACUUCUCAUUAGAAUUUUACUUCAGCAUAACUCUUGAGCAAAAUGCCCUUAGCCCAAACAAACAUGUUUCGUGUUUCUUGAAACACCACAAAUGUUGCCAUCUACCUCCUUUCCCUGUCAUGCUCCCUUCGUGAGAAAAGUUCAAAGCCACAAGUUAAUAUUUGGGUCUCUCUUUGAGUAGCAGAGGUCAAGACAUCUACCAGCCAUGCAUUCCGAAGCAGAACUCUUGCAGUCUACUUGCAGCCAUACAGCGAGUAGCCAGUUUUUCUCUUGGACUGUAAUUACAUCUCUUAGGGAGAUAAAUCAACAUUAAUGCAGGGUCAGGCUAUGACACGGGAACUCAUCAUAACAUACAGUUUGCUCCUAAGUUCAGGUUCUGCGUGACUCAAAUUGAAUAACAAAUAAUAUAUGGAAAGUGGCACGCUGUAUGUAAAAAGCUUGUGAGCUGAAGAAGCAGCUACAUUCACAGCAAAUCUCGAGCACUGUCAGUCAUCCAUUGAGCUCAGCUACUUGGUGUGACAGUCAUUACAAGACGGGAGUUUUACAGGCACUUAAAUGCUGUCCUCAAACAGUUACUUGCUGGCAAAUCAACAGUGUGUGGUCAGGGAUCACUCAAAGAAACCAGAAUUUUGCAGCUUGUUUUAUUCAGAACGAGGGUGGUUUCUGCUGUGUUGUUGGUACAUCUUUGCCUUCACCAGGACAGAACAAAGUGUUUCUUGAAGAGAUGAUGAAUCAACAUCAGAGUCUGCCCAAGCAUAAAGGACCAGUGCAAAACACUUUCUGACUUCCUGUGGCACCAACAGAAGAGAGAAAAGUGUCUUAGCAACUGCCUGGAGAACGGGAACACAGAGCAAAGCCCUGCCUUCAGCUUUCCUGCCCACGCUGCAGUACCUGG